CAGAGGCAUACCGGUUUGUCCAGGGGAAGGACUGGGGCUUUAAGAAAUUCAUCAGGAGAGACUUCUGCUGGAUGAGGCCAAUGGGCUGCUGCCUGAGGACAAGCUCACUCUCUUCUGUGAGGUGAGUGUGGUGCAGGACUCUGUGAACAUCUCAGGUCAGAACACUAUGAACAUGGUGAAGGUGCCAGACUGCAGGCUGGCCGAUGAGCUGGGAGGGCUGUGGGAACACUCCCGCUUCACUGACUGCUCCCUGUGUGUGGCGGGACAGGAGUUCCAGGCACACAAAGCCAUCCUGGCAGCCCGAUCGCCAGUGUUCAGUGCCAUGUUUGAGCAUGAGAUGGAGGAGAGUAAAAAGGUGAGUGUUGUUGACAGUGUUGUGACCU